ACGAACGCUGGCGGCGUGCUUAACACAUGCAAGUCGAACGGAAAGGCCCCUUUGGGGGUACUCGAGUGGCGAACGGGUGAGUAACACGUGAGUAACCUGCCCUUGACUUCGGGAUAACUUCAGGAAACUGGGGCUAAUACCGGGUAGGAAUCCUUGCUGCAUGGUGGGGGUUGGAAAGCUUCGGCGGUUUUGGAUGGACUCGCGGCUUAUCAGCUUGUUGGUGGGGUAGUGGCUUACCAAGGCUUUGACGGGUAGCCGGCCUGAGAGGGCGACCGGCCACAUUGGGACUGAGAUACGGCCCAGACUCCUACGGGAGGCAGCAGUGGGGAAGAUUGCACAAUGGGCGGAAGCCUGAUGCAGCAACGCCGCGUGCGGGAUGACGGCCUUCGGGUUGUAAACCGCUUUCAGCAGGGGCGAAGCUUGUGGUGACGGUACCUGCAGAAGAAGCACCGGCUAACUACGUG
rnacentral:rRNA from 1 species